rnacentral:lncRNA from 1 species
UAACGAAACAGUAGUUCAGUUGUCCUUGAGACUCUAAAUGAUUUGAUAUUCAUGCUCUAAGGCUCAAUGGCAUGAAUGAUGGCAACCUGAGAGACCUGAGAGAGUUAUAUUUGUAUUUAAUAUUUGUGAAUGUAUGUUUGUAUCUAUUUAAUAACAAGGCAUGACUAAUUGAUAUCUCGUUUGCCCUAUCUAGAAAUAGGUGUAAGCGGCUGCGCAUGUCGGUUUGCAAUCAGUGUAAUAUAAAUUACAUA